GAAAUAAACGGACUGAUCGUGUGCACAAGUGGUACAUGGCCGCGUAAAAUCAGUGAAAUCUGAUCGUGACGAAAGGAACGCAGGAACUGCCCGUGUCUCCGACCGCGGGAAAAUUGAUCUCUCGAGGGAGCUUAUAUCUUUCGAAGAUUUCUCAUCUCCGAUAUGGAUCACACGAUGUUAUUCGAGCUCCGAGAGUGUGCGAUCGCGAUAAUCGAUGCGACCGAACUAUCCCGCCCCGUCGGCUGCUAGAAUAUCCUCAUCUCGCGCUUGUCUCGAAUGUAUUCGUGUAAAAAAUAUGAAUUUUGAGGAAUCGCGUGUUGAUUUCCGAAGAUGUGAGUUAAUGCACGUCGAUGGUACAGUCAAGCAGCACACGGAUGAACAAGAGAUAGCACGACGAUGAGGUGUCGAAUGAUCGAUGUUCUUCGUUUCGCGAAGAACACAGCAGCAGCCUUGAGAGGAUCGCAUAAAAUGGUGCUGAAGGGGACAGAAGGGGGAAAGACGAGGAGGAAGAAACACGAGGGGAGAAGAAUGGAGCUGCGGGAAGACUAGGGGAAUGAGAGGGAAGGGAAAGAUGCCGGCUGGCAAGCAGAUGGUUGCCCCGUUUAUUGGUUUAUUCGUCGGUUCAGCCAUGACGUUCCGUCUAGCCAUGAAACAAACCGGAGAUUCUGCCUGUGUUAGAGAGUAUCAAAUAACGAGACCACGACUACUCUUUCCAUUAAAAAUGCAUCCAAGAGCUGCUUGUUCGUAGCGCCGUAUUGGCAAGGAUAUUAAAGCUGUUUCGGCGGCGACGUGUAAACGUGCAAGAACAUAUAGAUGAAAUCCAGUAAUGGCGUCCUAGGGGCGGACGAAAUACUCGGGUCGAUAGAAGGAAGGCUACCUACAGAGCUCAAAUACUCUCUCAUCUUACUGCCGACAAUCACCCCCACCAACAACCUUCUUUAGCGGCUCAUCGUCGGAAAUAUAAUCGGCAAUUAUUUUAAACUUUUUUAUUUAGGGAAUCUUGGUGUUCUCGUACGGAUGUAACUAUGUCGAUAAAGCGAAUUGCAAGGUGACAGAAUGUAAAAAAAUAAUAUAUCGUUAGUGAAUGAUAAAAACUAUUUAUAAAAAUAAGGUAAUUAAAAUAAAUUCUUAGCAAGAAUUUUGCGUAAACAUUGUUUAUAAUGUUCACACAGAACGUUGCACAGGCUUAACGGGUUACUUUUAGCAAAGCACUUUUAACAAUUCUCAAGGGAAAUUAGUGCGAAAUGUUCUGAGAGAGAAAUAGAGAUGUUUUCAUACGUCAAUAGUUAAGUAUGGUAUUAUAAGCUAAAGGAUGGAAAUAUUUUGAAGUCGAAGGUGUUUUCAUACACCUUAAUCCGGAUCAGGGUCCGAAAUCCGUAGUUUAAGAGGAUUAACAUCAUCAGCCAAUUUAAGGGAGCGACCAAUAUGUUCACUACAAUAGGAAAAUCUUUCGGUUUCCCAAUAGAGGAGGAAACUAAUUCGUACAAAUAUGCGUGCAGCUACCGUUUCUUAUUUCUCACUUUCGUUAAGUACGUCUCUCUUUUAGUUUUUUUUCCUAUAAAAUAUUUACGCCGAGAUGUAUCGUUCAUAGAACAUGCUCCGUAUUAUCGUUGUAAUAUCGCUAGUUUUGUUAAGAUCAUGUUAAGAUUGUCAUCUUUUUCUUUUUUCUUUUUCUUUUUUUUUAGUAAUUGCAUGCAAACGAUCUGCACGCUCGCGUCAUGACCAAGUAACCUGGAAAUGAAAGGUACGUCGACACACGUACAGGAAUAAAAGGAGCUGUACCGCUAAGAAGACGAAGAAGAAGAAGAAGAAAACCAAGGAGAACGCGACCUUGCUACAUUCAGCUGUGUCAUCCUCAAGCCGUUAACGCUCAGGUGGUUUCGAUCCCAGGGACGAGCAUCAAUCAUCAUCGGUAGUGCAGGUGUAAUGUGAUCAUUGUCACUGAGAUAACCCAGUACGAUAUUCAUUUAUGAAGCGUGUUAAGUGACAUAACAGAGUUUAUCUGUAACAGCGUAUCUAAAUACUUUGUGAAAGAAGCGACUUCAAUAUUAGUUCCUCGAUAACAUGCAAUUUGUUGGGGCAGAUCGUUGUCGGGCCAGAGCCAUUACGAAACAAUCGUUCAUUCAUAUUUAACGAAAGUGGAAAGGCUCUAAAGAUGUAAAAGUAUAGUAGCGGAGAAACGCUAAUUAAAGUUUAAACACAGUUGCGAGAGUAAACGAAUACGUAAGGAAAGAGGAAAAGUAGCGAAUUAUUCCGACUUAUCACGAGGAAGACCCAAAAUAAAAUCAAAACAUUCGACAGAUUUAUUUAUGUAGUUACAGGAUUAUUUAAUAUGCGAGAUUAGUACGAAAUACUUAAAUAUGAUUUUUCUAAAAGCCGUUGAAGUUUCCUUUCUUACAUCGAAGUAACGAAAAUUGCGAUCAAAUAGCGAUGAAAAUUAUGACUGUGCUUAUGCAAAAACGAGGCACAAAAGUUGAGCAAAAACAGAUCCUGCCCUGCUUUCUUGAGAAGUGACUCGGCAUACCUAAGCUAUUUCCGUAUGACCAUGCACUUCGUAAACUCGCGAGCAUGCUAAUUUGAAAUUACAUUCUAUAGCUUCGACGAUAUUUAUUCUUCGGAAGGCAAACAUAGCUAACACGGCAUAAAUUAUUAGAAAAAAAUCGAAUAUAUAGAUUUAUAUAAAUGGUUGCGUUAUUAAAAUUGAUGAAAUACGUACUACAUUUCGAACGGAGUUUAAACGUUUAUGAUAAUAUUUAUUCUGAGAAUUAUAAAUUGAUAAUGACAGUAGAUGAAGUUGCACGGUAAUAUAGUUACAUUGUUUCAAUCAAAAUACAGAAAUUAGUAUUAAUAGGAAAAUAUUUUCAGGUUCCUAAAUGGUACCUGUGAAGUCUACCGAAGAUCACAUACUGGGCGGACAAAGAAGUUAAGACCGGCACGUAUAUAUAUAUACAUAUAUAUAUAUAUAUAUAUGCAUAUACAUGCACUCCAAAUAUUUUUAAAUAGAUAAGAAUAUUAACGAUAAUCACAUAAAAAUGAUGUGCCGCACAAGAAAGCCCAGUUAAUGCUCUACAUCUACCCUGUAGAUCCGAAUUUGUUUGAUAAGAGGCGACAAAUUCGGUUCUAGAGAGGUUUGUGUGGUGCAUACAGAGCAACGGUGAUCUUUGAAUAAACGUAAUCAAAUAAUAGAGAUCUUGUAAAAAAUCAGUUAUCGUUCAAUAUUAAUCACCGGAUACACUAAAGUUCCUGAAUCUGAUAUGGCGUGAUAAGUAUAAAUAUUAAAAAUGAAACACAAGUUUUUAAUAUUUUAAAAGUUUGUAUACUGUAUAUAAUAUUGUAUAUUGUAUAUACAUAGUAAAUUAUGUACGCGUAUAUAACAGAUUAUAACUUAUGACUGCAGCAAAACUUGUAACACAUACAUAAAUCAUGUUAAGACUUACAAAAUAUUUGUAGAUACAAGAUAUACAUGUAUUACAAGUUUGAAUAUCGAAUUUGUGUAAUGUGAGUUUUAUGUAAUAUUAGGUGCGUCUAUAGAAAUUCUUCCCGUAAUAUCUAAUACUUGACAAUCUUUUGCAAUUAAAAUAUUUCUUUUAAUUUUUCGACGAUUUUUAAUUAUUAUUAUUUGUGAGAAAUACUUGUAUUAACAGUUUGAAGAAACGAUGUAACAUAUACAUUGACAUAACUACUAAAAACAUAGGAGAAAUUUUUAUCGAACAUGAAUUUAAUUUUUUCAAGAUAAAGUUUGACUUACAAAAAAGCGGAAAGAAUUUCUGUAUACGCAUAAUAUUAUACGAUUGUAUUCUAAACAUCAAUAAUGUCAGGUCACUCAUAAAAUCUAAGCUCACUGUUGAUCUUAGUAACAUUAGGUACACGUGAAGUUAUCACAGUGACAGAUUAACAGCGCUGGUGAAAGAUUGUGUCGCUUCCUCAAGUACUCUACAUUUAUGACUCACGAAUAUCCAGGCAAAAUGCAUAAGACUGAAAAUUUUCCGAUGACCGUAAAUCUCUAAAUAAGUGAACGGGUAUUAUUGGCGUUUAGUGUACAAUUGGAUAUGUCGUUAGGUAUAUUUUUGAAUUUGUUUAUACAUAUGAUAGAAGAGUUAUUAAUAGCGACAGAAAAAUUUUUAAUAUAAAAAAGAACUAAUGGACGUCAUUACGCCCAUGGACUUGGUUGCAUGCACAUUGGUAUAUCGUCGAUGAUGAACUGCUACGUCUAGCGUGACCUGUUGCAUAUAAGUUCACUCACACAUCGCAUUAAAUUGCACAUUCUCCUCGUAGUUUAUACAGGUCAAUUCAAAUUCUAUUUGCGCAAUUAAUACUACAGUAUGUAACAAAAUAUCCACGGAAUGUUAAUUUUGGCUGCUAAAUUUUGAUAUGUAUAAACUUAUUUUACAGAAGAAAAAGUAUUUCGCAUUAUCUAAUAAGAUGUUUCUAAUGAUUUUCUCGAUAAAUUUCACACUAAAAGUUUAGUGAAUUAAUUAUAAAUAAUGCUGCUUGCGAAAUUAUUCCCGAUUUAUUUAUUUUGUUUUUUGUUAUAUAUAAUACUUUCUUUUGAGUUUGUUUAUAACUUUAUGAUUCAAUAAUGUAAUUUAUAAGUUUAAUAACAUGAUAUAUAUGACAAAUAUAUCCACGUAUACAUGUUUUUUUACAAAAUUUUAUGUAAUUUAAAAUGUGAUUUAAAGAUAUGACGAAUAGUGUAUGGCAAUUUGAACAAAUUAGUUAAUUACUUCGAAAAGUUUAUUUUUAUGGCAAAAAUGUGAAUAUGUGCAUAUGGUUAUAAUUACCGUGCGUAUGGUUAUAGUUACCGUACAAUUCCAACGAUGGUAUUUCCCGUGCUGAACACGCCCCGGACACCUGUGAAUAUUUCAAUCCGAAGAGAACGGCAUGUCUUAUCCGUACCACCCAGUAUGCUAUAUUUUUUAAUAUCUUAUUCUUUUUACCAGGAGCCUUCAUUAAAUGUACGUCUAUCGCUCAGCGAAUAUGCGAUUUCUUGAAUCUUUCUGUAACGGCUGCGGCAAAUCCAUUAAUCUCUGAUCGUGUUCAUAUUAAAAUGACAUACCAGUCGUUACGCAACUACUCAUAAGUGCUAAUGAAGUGCAUACACAAGUGUAAUUACCAAUCGAGUGGACUGCCCACUUUUCACUCGUAAUAUAAUCUAGUGAAUAAAAAAGAGUGGUUUCAUAAUGACACGGCGAGGAAAAACGCAGUCACGUCUCACGUAGAUCAGCAAUUACCAGCUGAUGGUUCGCUGGAAGUUAACAUUAGAAACUCUGUAAGCGUCCCUCGUGGAAUGUAUUUAGUUUCGCAUCAUUCUCAACGAUAGGAAUUUAUUUAUACAUAAUUUUCCAACAUAUAAAUGAUAUCGUAAAAGAACAAAUUGCGAAAAACAGUCGAAAAAACAUAUGAAGCAUGCAGGAUAUAGCAUGGAUGAUGAAUCGUAUUCCAUUCAGUUUCU